rnacentral:rRNA from 1 species
CCUACGGGUGGCUGCAGUGGGGAAUAUUGGACAAUGGGGGGAACCCUGAUCCAGCGACGCCGCGUGAGGGAAGAAGUAUCUCGGUAUGUACACCUCUAUCAGCAGGGAAGAAAAUGACGGUACCUGACUAAGAAGCCACGGCUAACUACGGGCCAGCAGCCGCGGUAAUACGGAGGGGGCAAGCGUUAUCCGGAUUUACUGGGUGUAAAGGGGGCGUAGGCGGUGUAGCAAGUCUGAUGUGAAAGGUCGGGGCGCAACCCCGGGACUGCGUUGGAAACUGUACAGCUGGAGUACAGGAGAGGUAAGCGGAAUUCGUAGUGUAGCGGUGAAAUGCGUAGAUAUUAGGAGGAACACCAGUGGCGAAGGCGGCUUACUGGACUGUAACUGACGCUGAGGCUCGAAAGCGUGGGGAGCAAACAGGAUUAGAUACCCUAGUAGUC